rnacentral:rRNA from 1 species
GAUGAACGCUGGCGGCGUGCUUAACACAUGCAAGUCGAACGGGAAACCUUUUAUUGAAGCUUCGGCAGAUUUAGCUGGUUUCUAGUGGCGGACGGGUGAGUAACGCGUGGGUAACCUGCCUUAUACAGGGGGAUAACAGUCAGAAAUGGCUGCUAAUACCGCAUAAGCGCACAGAGCUGCAUGGCUCAGUGUGAAAAACUCCGGUGGUAUAAGAUGGACCCGCGUUGGAUUAGCUGGUUGGUGGGGUAACGGCCCACCAAGGCGACGAUCCAUAGCCGGCCUGAGAGGGUGAACGGCCACAUUGGGACUGAGACACGGCCCAGACUCCUACGGGAGGCAGCAGUGGGGAAUACUGCACAAUGGGGGAAACCCUGAUGCAGCGACGCCGCGUGAAGGAAGAAGUAUCUCGGUAUGUAAACUUCUAUCAGCAGGGAAGAUAAUGACGGUACCUGACUAAGAAGCCCCGGCUAACUACGUG